UGCCUGCUCACGUGGCGCUAGGUAGGU
rnacentral:piRNA from 1 species